ensembl:lncRNA
GUAAUAUUAGGUUACUAGGGAGCUUUCAUGUCCAAACAAACUUUUAAGGCAGGUUUUGGAUCAAACGCAUUGUUUGUUAUGCUGGUUGUCCUGAUAGCAAUCACUAAGUAGGUCCAAAUAUAUUUAUUAUAUCAUCUGUGGAAGGCGGACCAUAAAAAGUUCAUCCAAUCACAUCGCUCGGUCCGAGGGUUAUGAUAGGCUGUCCUACCUGACUGUCAAGGUGUUACGUCGCGCAUCCUAUUCGCGCAGAUGUCAUACGUCAUCAACGCGUUGCCGCUGUUCAGAUCGAGCGACAAUGGAAGGCAAACAGGAGCUCGCCAAAAACAUUAAAUUGGAAAAAGAAGAGCAGCAAUGUCCUCAUGUCGCUUCUGAACCGACAAGAAGUGGCGCAGGCAAACGCUCGAGAAGAAAGACAGUCUAUGAAAAAGCUAUGACGAAAAGACGACUGGAGCAGGAAAGAGCUAAAACCCGAGUUACCAUCGGCGCUGCUUUUCCCCGCUGGAGACAACUGCGAGAGUCAAAGUGUCUGCAAACCGAUGCCAUGGUUGCACUUUUUCUUCUGGACAGUUAUGAGAAAAGUACAACAUCCACACCUUUGCUGCAUGAAUUCAUAAAGCCACCACCAGAGGUUUCUACCGUUUUUUCCGAGUCUUCCUAUGAACAGUUCAUGAUGAGAAUCAAUCCUGACAACAGCAAGUGCUUCUCAAAGGCCCAUAUCAGCAGAAGAAGUGGAAGAUGUUGAAAGGAAGAACUCGUUUGUGGAUUUCAACUGGCAAAAUUACUAAAUCUACUAAAUAUAUUCUGCUCGGGAGAGUUUUUCAAUCCGUCAGUUUUAAUAUGAUACUUAUGAUUGUUCAUGUUUUCCAUCAAACUGUUCAUGAUUUUCUUUUUUAAUGCUUCAGUAUGAAACUCGUGUGUAAAUAUUACUGCAGGUUGUAGGAGAGUUUUCUUUACAUAGUGAUAGUGUACAGUAAUUCACUUGUUUUACAACAAUAGCCCAAUUUACUGUAAAAAAGUGCAUGGGCUGCUUUUGAUGUUUUGUGAUUAUGAAUAGAAUCACUAUUUAUUAUUAUUAUUAUAGUAUGUUGUGCCCAGGAUAGUUAUGAAUCUUUGAAGGAGAGUUUUCUAAAUAUAGUUAUAUGUAACAAUGUUUUGUUCAUGAGUCUUUCUGUCUGCAUACACAAUGUGAGAACAUGUAAGGGAGAAUAUGAUACAUACUGUGUACAUGUAAUUAAAUAAUCUCACAAGAUGUAACAAUAAAUGUUAACAGCAAAUACGCA